UUUACCAUCUGAGCUAUCGGGGAAGCAGAGUGUGGCUACAUCAAACCAGAUCAGCAGAACAACCAGGGCGGCCUCUCCAUGAGCAGAUGAAGCUGGCUGCUAGCAUCCGGGGUGUGGUGGCUUGGGAACAAGUUUAUGGCAGCAGCCCAGACUUGACUUAGGAUGCGAGGCUGUGGGAACCAAAAAACAAUUGGAACAUUUAAAGGUAUGAGAAGAGAAACUGUAUCCUGUUGAUACAAGAGAGAAUAUUCCCUGCCACGGAGAGUGUGCUGGUCUUUCGAAAGAAUCGCUGUUGGACCUGAAGGCAAAAAUUUGCAGGAGGCCCCAGCCAAGCAUGUACCUCUCCACACACAGCUUCUCUCCAAACAUCUUUCAUCAUGCCAGAGGAAGUAUGUGGGGACUUCAAGGACUUGAUCCUGGUUUC